AUUAGAAGCACUAACAUUUAUUCAUUUAGUAGUGGAAGUCAUACUCAAAGGUCCAAAUCUUCCUAUAUGUGAAAUGACCAUGAUGGAACCUCAAAGUCCCAAGGAUCAGGUAAGGCUCCUCAUCGUAGAUUCUCGGUGUCAAGAUCUGGCAAUUCAGUAUCAAGGUUCAGCGAUCGACAGUAGGAAAAGUUACAAUUGGUAGUAAUUUUCCAGCAUUUUAUGUAAUGCUCUCUGUCAUGUGAUCUGUAAACUUGUAAAACCACACUUUCUUGCAAGCUUUAGUUUUUCAAACUAAUGUUCAAGUUUCCCUUUUCAGUUAUUCGUUCUGCUACUGUCAUAAUUCUGUCAUGCAUCUAUUCAACGUCUUUUUUUAUAGUUUCUGGCAGCCUUUAAAUAUCUUUCAAGUUCAACCACACAUUUUCUACUUGAACUAGUGUUUUUUUCCCAUUUUGUAUGUUGUUUUUCUACAUAAGGAGGCGGUGACCAUGUGCAAUUAUGAGAAUUCUCAUAGGAAAUUUGCAAUAACAAAAGUUAGUUUCACCAGGGUGCUUUGGUUUCUGUAUAGAGGCACAAAAUAUGAAGUCGUGCGUAUAAAAAUCAAUAUCAAACAAUUUUGGAGUUCUAGUAACAUUAUCAGUAAUUUUAAUUGAAACCAGUAUAGAAGCUAUGGAAAGUUCAGUAAUUUUAAUUGAAACCAGUAUAGAAGCUAUGGAAAGUUCAGUAAUUUAAAGACCUAUGAAGUUUAAAAGAGAAAGCAUUAGUUAGAAAAUUGGUCAAGCUAGUGACCUAAGAGCAACAAUUUAGACUUGUGUCAAGUUCAGGAGCCACCAAUAUAUAUUGACCUUUCCAUCUUUAAGUUAAUAUAAAAUAUCGGUCCAGUGUAUGAUCCUCCCAGUAGGGUCUUGAGCUGCUUUCAGCGUUGUGCCUAAAUUUGCUCUGUAUGAUAACUAUUUGGUAGUAUGCUACUGCUAUACUAUCCUCUUUAUAAUGAAUGACUUGUCCUCAUUCUGUAUCUUUUUGUUAGCUACUUUGGGAUGAUCUCCUCACAAAUUCCGACACCAACUUUGAGAAUGAAGAAGAAUUGUUCUGUAGCAAUUGACCUGGGUGGUCA
rnacentral:lncRNA from 1 species